rnacentral:rRNA from 1 species
CAGUCGAGGGGUAGAGUUAGCUUGCUAACUUGAGACCGGCGCACGGGUGCGUAACGCGUAUGCAAUCUACCUUUCACAAAGGGAUAGCCCAGAGAAAUUUGGAUUAAUACCUUAUAGUAUAUAUGAAUGGCAUCAUUUAUAUAUUAAAGAUUUAUCGGUGAAAGAUGAGCAUGCGUCCCAUUAGCUAGUUGGUAAGGUAACGGCUUACCAAGGCAACGAUGGGUAGGGGUCCUGAGAGGGAGAUCCCCCACACUGGUACUGAGACACGGACCAGACUCCUACGGGAGGCAGCAGUGAGGAAUAUUGGACAAUGGGCGCAAGCCUGAUCCAGCCAUGCCGCGUGCAGGAUGACGGUCCUAUGGAUUGUAAACUGCUUUUAUACGAGAAGAAACCCUCCGACGUGUCGGAGCUUGACGGUAUCGUAAGAAUAAGGAUCGGCUAACUCCGUGCCAGCAGCCGCGGUAAUACGGAGGAUCCAAGCGUUAUCCGGAAUCAUUGGGUUUAAAGGGUCCGUAGGCGGUCAGGUAAGUCAGUGGUGAAAGCCCAUCGCUCAACGGUGGAACGGCCAUUGAUACUGUCUGACUUGAAUUAUUAGGAAGUAACUAGAAUAUGUAGUGUAGCGGUGAAAUGCUUAGAGAUUACAUGGAAUACCAAUUGCGAAGGCAGGUUACUACUAAUGGAUUGACGCUGAUGGACGAAAGCGUGGGUA